GGGGCGCCUACCAUGCAAGUCGAGCGGAUGACGGGAGCUUGCUCCUUGAUUCAGCGGCGGACGGGUGAGUAAUGCCUAGGAAUCUGCCUGGUAGUGGGGGACAACGUUUCGAAAGGAACGCUAAUACCGCAUACGUCCUACGGGAGAAAGCAGGGGACCUUCGGGCCUUGCGCUAUCAGAUGAGCCUAGGUCGGAUUAGCUAGUUGGUGGGGUAAUGGCUCACCAAGGCGACGAUCCGUAACUGGUCUGAGAGGAUGAUCAGUCACACUGGAACUGAGACACGGUCCAGACUCCUACGGGAGGCAGCAGUGGGGAAUAUUGGACAAUGGGCGAAAGCCUGAUCCAGCCAUGCCGCGUGUGUGAAGAAGGUCUUCCGAUUGUAAAGCACUUUAAGUUGGGAGGAAGGGCAUUAACCUAAUACGUUAGUGUUUUGACGUUACCGACAGAAUAACCACCGGCUAACUCUGUGCCAGCACCCGCGGUAAUUCA
rnacentral:rRNA from 1 species